GUUCUUAGGGUAGGACAGUUAAAGCCAGGUCUCCCCACACCUCUCCAGAGGCCACAUUUGCAGCCUGCCACUCUAUUCUGAACCUGCUCCCACCUCAGACCAAGGCCAACCACCUCUCCAUUCUUCUGCUCUCACCCGGCUCGUGGAACCCAAAUGACCUCAUGCAUUCAGCCUUUAUCAAACACAAACCAGCCCUAUCCUGCUCCCACUGGAGCUACUGAAACAGACCUGGCCUGAGGCAGGAAUAGACAGCUUCAGGGACAAAGCCUUUAGAAGUCCUGAGUUCAUUUCCCAACAACAACAUGGUGGCUCUUUACCAUUUAAACCCUCUACUCCCCUCUUCUGGCCUGCAGAUGUACAUGCACAUAGAGCAUUGAGAAUAAAUAAAAUCUUAAAUAAAGAAAAAAAAGAGUUGAGGGCCAGCCAGAGAUAGUUCCAGGACAGCUAUGGCUGUAGAAUGUGUGGUGUUAUAAAUUAGUAAAUCCCAGGCCCAGAAAGAUGGAGAUCCAGCCAAAAGGACCUGGGCAUAAUCCUUUGUGCCUAAAGAGCAAGGGUCACUUAGCAGUGUGGCUCCCCUCCACACCAACUCUUGCCAAACCCCCCCAUCACUGUCACUCCUCCAUCAGCUCACCAAAGGUACCAGACUUCUCCUGUGUGGGCAUCAGAGACUUACUACCCACAGCAAAGCUUGACUGCGACAGUGCCAGAAGGUAAAAAUAGAGCUGGAAGCCUGCCUGGUCCUGUGUCCACCCUUAGCCCUCCCCAACCCUAAGUCUCUGCCCAGGCAGCCAGGAGCCACUCACUGCAUGUGUCUUUUGAAGACUUCUGAAGACAGCCCAGUUCCUGUUGCUUCAUCUCAUGACCAUCCCUGACACCCUCUGGCUGGGAAGUGAUGGAGGGAUCCAAAAUGCUGGGAUGGAUUUAGGUGUGAGAGGGAUUCUCCCACAUCACAAAAUCUCAGUGAAAGAUAAUAUCGAGUAGGGUCCCAUCUUGUAGCUGUCUGAGCUGUGAAACCACGGCCAGGCCUGAGGAUUCCCUUCUCUGAGGACCCCAGAGGUCCUGAACCUGAUUGACACUUCACUUCUCUAAUGGUGGGGUGGGUAGGUGUGUGCUGAAAUGGGCUCUGAGCUGGAGACUGCCAUGGAGACCUGUUGGUAUAAUGUUCUUUUAAAAUGUAUAUGCCUUACUCUUGUUAAUUCAAAUGCUGAUUUCCCCACCCCCAACUCUCUGGUUUCAAUUUGGAUAUUGCAUUGUGAUACUCACUAUAAGCAUCCUGUCCCAACUCUUGUGUAAAGAGGACACAAAUAAAGCAACUGGAUACAACGUUGUGCAAUGGGAGGAGCCAGAGGACAGGAAAGAGGGGAGGAGCUAGAGAACGAGGAGGGGCUCCAGGAGAGGGGUACAGGAGGAGAGCAGAGCAGGAGGAGAGAGCUUGGAGGACUUGGAGCAUGAACCAGACCUAAGAUUUUACAAAAAGCAAGUAUAAUGUGGGAAAUCUAAAUGUUAGGAAACUGAGGGCAUGGAGGUUUAGGAGGGAGUAAAUAUUGCCCAGCAUUGUGUUCUAGGUUAACUAAAAACCCAGUCUCUGUGUGGUGAUUUGGUAUUAAAGCUGCUGAGGAUUAACAGCAGCGUUACAAGAAGAUAAAACAAUAGUAAAUAUUAAUAACCACCUACAACAAAUGGCGCCCAACUAAUCUAAGAAUCCACACCCUUUAAAUCAUACUUUAUCAUAAUUUGGUGGGGGGAAUAAACUCCCAGUGAUGCAAACCAAACUUAAAAUCUAAAAACUCUCAGGUCAGUUACUGUCUCUUUAAGAGAGACUCUUAAACAGGCCUUGGAGCAAAAGGCAGCCUACUGUGGGCAGACCUGAGACUUCCCUAACAAAACUAGCUGCCACUACAGUCUAACAGGAUGGAAGAAACAAUAAAACAGACUUCUUGGAGCUUGGCUGAUAAUCUAUUCUAUGGUUUUAAGACUGAAAUAAAGGAAAGUCUAGAAAUUGUAACUAUGCUUACAUUCAUAGUCCUCCAUUUAACUUUAAUCAUUGCAUUAGCCUUUUAUGUCUUCUCGAAGGCAAAGGCUUUAGAAAAGAUACUGGAACAGCACAAAGAACAACUAGAACAAUAUAAAGAAAAAUUAAAAGUCGGAAGAGAAGCAUAAAACAAGAGAUUCAAGAGAUUAUUGAACAAAACAAACAACAGGGAGAUAGGUAUGAAAUAUGGGUGCAGACCUUAAGAGAAGAGUUUAGAAUACUAAGUAAUGAAAAUACUCAGGCAGAGGCAAAAGACAAAAAUAAAGAAAGCCAACCAAAGGUGUUUAGAAAACAAACGUUGGCUUAUCCAGUCACUAUACAGCAGAAACCAGCAGAUGAUGAUCAUCCACUGAAUUAUCAUGAAGCUGAAUGGCGCCCUGUGGAAGUGCUAGAUCUGAGGAAAUUUAAGGAAAGUGUUACUAAUUUUGGAAUGCAUUCACCAUUUGUAAAACAAAUGUUGACUUCCUGGUCAAUCAAAACUAGAGUAAUCCCUAAGGAUUGGGAGGAUACGGCAAAGGCAAUAUUAGAACCUGUGCCAUAUUUACACUGGCUAUCAUGGUGGAGAGAAGAGGCUAGAGAGCUAGCACACAAAAAUAG